GCCUCCCCAUCCAACAAGCACACUUGAGGAUGCUCAUACCACAUCCUAUUCCAUGCCAGGUCUGGGCCAAUAUAUUCCAUACAUAUCAGUAACUACUGAUACUCAACAAACAAUCCAAAACUUAGUGUCUUAAAACAAUAAUUUAUUAUUUCUCCCAAUAAUUUAUGAGUUGGCUAGGUGAUUUUGCUAAUCUGGGCUGGUUUCACUCAUGCAUCUAUGGUCCAGUAACAUGCAGACUGGAGACUGUUUCAUCCAGGAUAAUCUCAGCUGGGACAGUGCGGCUCUGUUCCCUGUUCAUUCUCCAGCAGGUUAGUGUGGGCUUCUUCUCAUAAUGGUGACAAGAUCUAAGGGAAAAUGGGAACAUGCCAGGCUCUUGAGUUGAGGCUCAGAGCUUGUAGGAUGUCACUUGUGCUGAAUUCUGUGGUCUAAAGCAAGUCAUAAAACUGGGCCAGAUUCAAAGUUCCUGAUGAGCACAUUGGACGUUGCAGAGGCACAUUGCAGAGGAUGAAGAUGGAAGGAAAACUGAGGAGUUAUGUCUGGUUUCUACAGCCUACCAUGCUGGCCACUGAUUAGCACUUGAGUAAGUGGACCUAGGCAAACCAGAUUGCCCUUCCCUAGGGGAGCAGAGCUCACAUAACCUUUGAGGGCCUGGCUAGAAAAGACAGGAGAGGGGCUGGGGGUUUAGCUCAGCGGCAUAAGCGCCUGCCUUGAAAGCAGGCAGUCGUGAGUUCCAUCCCCGGUACCGAUAAAAAGGAAAAAGACAAAAAAAAAAAAAAAAGAAAAGACAGGAGAGGAGAAUUCCUCGUCUCUGCCUGAUUGCUUCAACUGCAGCACUCGUCUGCCCUUCGCUGUGACUUGUACCAUCUAGUCCACCAGCUUCCUCAGGUCUCUAGUUUUCAGGUGGCAGACAAUGGAACUUCUCAGCCUCCAUAAUUGCGUAACUCAAUGCCUUGUCAUGAAUAUUCUUAUCUAUCUUUGUCAAUAUCCAUGUCUGUAUUGCUAUCCAUAUGUCACUGCCUUUGUAUCUCUGGAUGACCUGGAGGACUUCACCAGGUGACUUGUUUCAGCUGGUGAAACAUGAAUAGAAACAAUGGUACAUCAGUGCUGAGGCUGGGUCCUAGAGAGACAUUGCAUGUUUCUUGUGCUUCUUUUGUCCUACGGCAGCUGCUGUUUUAAGGAGGAUGUGAGACCUAGAUGCAGCUUGCAUUCUGGGGCCAAGGUCAGCAUGGACCACCCUUGUUCAGUCAGCCCACAUGUGCUGAAAUGACUGUUUCUAGCAGCUGAAUUUUAGGGUGCUUGUUGAAAAGCAUUAUUGUGUAACUGGUUAACUUUCUAGGAAAAUGAGAGCCAAAUUCUCUCUCCAUGACUUGGUCUCACAUUUAUUGAAACACAAUUUGCGUAAGCAAAUUCUAUAUAAGAUAUAGCUGGGAGACUAUACAUUUCCCAUCUGCAUAAUUUGCAACAUCUAUAUAACUCUCUCAGUAUUAUUAACCUAGUAUUUCUUUGACUUAAUUUCAAACCCAUCAUUUUGAUCAACAUUCUCCUACUUAGAUUUAAGCUAUAUUCAGGUGUGAUGUAUUAGUUAUAUAUUUCAUUUAAUGUGUCUAUCUGUAUCUACAUAUGUAUCUAUAUCUAUGUAUUCAUCCAUCCAUCCAUCCAUCCAUCCAUCCAUCCAUCCAUCCAUCCAUCCAUCUAUUCCGUGGCAGUAUUGUUCUAUGUGUGCAUUCAACCAAUCCCAUUUGUUAUUUUCCUGGGAACACAGAAGGAUUACAUCUUCUGGCUAGGUAGGGGCCUGUAACUAUUAGUUCUGCCCAAUAAGUGGUUUACUCAUUUCUAGAACCUGGCCCCUGAAAUCUGAAUACCUGUUAAGAAGCUAGUGUCCUUGAAAGUGGCAGAUUCUGAGUUAGUAGAAGGAAGGAACUUUGACUUUUGGAUGACCUUGGAGAUCAGAAGAUUUUCUCUUCCUCCACCAACUUGCACUGGCCUGUUCUUGAAUGAGAAAUCAACAGCUGGUUAAGAAUUCACGAUAUUUUUUUCAACAAUUAGAGUUAGCUGAUCUAAAAAAUAUAGAACCCUUAAAAUUAAAACAUCUCCACUGUUACCUAAUCUUAACAUCUGUACUACCUGUAUUCUAUAUAUUACAUCUUGGAAACAAAAUGCCACUUAAUGAUCAAGGAGACUUAACCUCAAAGUGUAAAGAUGCCAUCCAAGUAUGCAGAGUAGGGGCUGAGACUGGGAUCUCUGAGGUGCUGAUCGAGUUCUAGACUGGUAGUAUUUGAGGAAAGCUAUCCAUGUAUUUAGCAUAUCGGGAACUGCAGAGCCAGCACCCCUCGGGAUUGUGAAGUCUCCUGACACACAUUGCUGCUGCCCCAUAUGGCCUGGGAGCACUGAGAGAUGCUAAGGACUCUCCACUCUGAUUGCCUUGCCUGAGGGUAUUUUCUGCCCACAGAGGGGUGUCUCAUUUGCGUGCUGUGAUGGAUGCAGGGGGAGUAACCCUCAACUAGCAACAGACAGGAACAUGGCAACUUCCCCCUUGGGAAUCACUUUGUGAAUGUGGCCUCUGAGGGUCCUCAGAAGGGAUUAGUUCCAGUUGUCUGCAGUGCUAACUUGCCCAUUAACAGCUGCCUGGGUUCCCUCCCUCUCACUUCCUCUCCCUCCCUGAGGAUGUAGCAGAAAGCAUACUAGGAACUGUCCCUAUAGUCAGGACAAAAUCCCUCAUUGCUAGUGUGAUGCAUUUGAAAGUGAGAUUUCUGGAUGAUGAUUAGGCCAUGAGGUGGGACACUAGAGAAAGACUAGUGCCUUUUUAAGGAAAGGUACCAAAGAAUGUUUCCUCUCUCUGCUCUGUGCCAUGUAGAUGAGAAGCCAGACAGUAGCCACCUGCAAACCAGGAUACCAGCCCUUAUCACACAAGAAACCAGCCAGCACCUUGUUCUUGAACUCCCCAGCUUUCAGAACUGUGAGAAAUAAAUACCAGUAAUUUAAGCCACCAAGUUUAUGGUGUUAUAGCAGCCUGAGUAGACUAGGACGAUGCAUGAGGGAAGGCAACUCUGAAGCAGUUAACAUUUGGACAAAGAGAUGAAUGAAAGGAGGACAUAAUAGAAGAAAGUUCUAGGAAGAAGGUUCACCACGUGGAGCUCUGCUGUAGGUAGGUGAGAGCUUGGCAUGUCCAGCGCACCGCAGAGAGGCUUCUGUGGUUGCACAGAGGGGAAUAAAGCCAGGAGCAUUUGAAGAGGUGGGAGUGGAGCAGAUCCCCGUGGACAGUUUAUAUUUAUCAGAAAAAAAUGUCCUAAGCAGAGGGAUGAUUUGACCUGGUUUAUGCUGCCAGAGUUCGCUGACAAACCUUUCUAGGAAAUGUGGAAACCAAGGUCUCCUUUAUGCCGGGGUAGCAUAGGAACCCAGCAAGGUCUGUGGCGAGGCCUGGGUUGGUGGGUGCCAGGGCCUCUGGUACCGAGGUAGCUCCUGCCCUCUGCACCUAGGUCUGUCCUGUUCCUCCUUCUAGUUAAACCGGGCUUGUGGAGGUGACACUGAGGAGUGCCAGUGCCCUCACUGCUUUCCAAAGUGAUACCUUGGGUUCUGUUCUGUCUUAAAACCCUUAAACUACCAGCUACUUCAGACCAGCUUCAAAGUGGAUUUAAUUCAACUGGGAAGAAAACCUGAGCUCAUGAUUUAAAUUAUUUUCCCCCUACUUUGAUCACAAGGAAUAAAUAUUUUCUUGCACAACACCCUGCUAAAAUUAUUAGAGGCCCUACCAAUAUUUGUGGGCCCAGGGAAAGAAUUUUAUUACAAAAGUGGACAAAACAGGCCCUUUGAUAACUCCAAGGGAUCCUGGUAAUGGCAGAGGAAAAUUGUGAGCUCUAGAUUUAAAAAUAAUAGAAUAAAAGUAGCCUACACGGGCAGAACUACUUGGCCCUCAGAGGAGACUCUGUCACCAGCCCCUCCUUAAAGGUGGGAAAAUUUUGUUGUGAAAGCAAUUAGGUUGUUUCAGUCUUGGGACUAAGACUUCUCAAAAUUAAAAUAAAAUGAAGGAAAUCCAAAACCAAUCAGUACUCCAAAGACUGAUUAAGUGUGUCUUUAAACAUAUAGAUGAUUGAGUAAUAUUAUUUGAGCUAUUAUAUUCAUGAGGGUUCUGAGAAGUCUGAAGGCGUUUUUAUGUGAAAUGACUUUACAAAACUUGUUGGUGUGAGUUGAUGUGACUGGACACACAUUUCCCCCCACUCUGGAGACACACAUUUAUACUUUCAAAACAGACUGCAAGCACUGGAUCAAAAACUGUUUUAAAAGGAUCAACAGAUUGAAAGCACUGGAUAAAAACCUGUUUUUCUCUUACAGUUUUCACAUUUCUUACUCUGAAUUACCUAGCCCCCAUUCAUCUUCUGAAGUUUAAGAAGGUGGUUUGACAGUACAAAUUACCUCCCUUGUCUUCCAUUUAGCAGAGCUUAUGGUUUUUAUGGGCUUACAAACUGUUUUUAUAUUUAAUUCUCUGCAAGUUUUGACAUGGAGAGAAAUAGGCAGUGACUAUAAAAAUGUACGGCAAAUCACUGAUACUUAAAAAUGGAGCUAAUUUCCAUGGUAACUGAGUCAAAUAAUUGCUUUUCACAUUGUAAUUUAAUAUUUAUCUUAUCAAUAAAGGCAUAUUUUAUUAAAACAGACUGUAAUCUCAUGUGCUCAGUUGUAGUAGAAAAUGGGAAACCUCCCAGUAUUAGAGCAAGAUUCCAAAGUUUGAUCUGCGAACAUUAAGAUGAAUGUUUGCAUACAAAAUGUGCACAUGUGUUUUUAUAAGAUUAUGGAAGGCAGAGAUUUCAUUUUAUUUUGUAUACUAAUUUUAGAGCAAGGACUCACAUUGUAGCUUUAUCAGCUGCUUAAGCAUCUCUGUACUCCAAUUUGUCUUCUAAAACAGGGAUAGUAAUACUAGUCACCCAAAGAGUGUGGCAUGCCUCAGAGGACAGAGGAUCUAGAAUAGUGCCUGGCACCUGGAAACUUUCAAACAGGUAGCUUUCUGCACCCCAAGCACCCACUUUUGUGCAUAUAGUUAAUGCUUAGUAACUGUUUAGUAGUAAAUAUUCUGGUAUGACAGACCUCUUCUGCAAGUCCAGUGAUAAAACUGAUAGUCGCCGAGGAAGUCCUGAGUCUCAUUCAGUCCAGUCACUGGUACCUGGCAGACCCCGAGGUCAACAUACUGACUCGUGAGAAUGGAGUGUUAAAUUUCUAGAAAUUUCACAAGCUGAUUUUAAAGACAGUUAUUCAAAAUUAAAUGACAUAAAUAUGCAAUUAAAUAAACUGCACUAAAACCAAAAGUAAUACUCAAAGCCUAUCAUUUCCUCAUUACUUUUUACAAUUACCUUAGAAUGUAUUCACAUCACAGGGAAAUGCAACAUAAAGGCGAUUCUGCGCAUCUCUUCCCAACUGCGUCAAUGACGUCAUGCUGAUAGCUUAAAAUCAACCAUGAUAAGGAUGCUUACUCCAUAGAAAUCAGCAACAUUGCAAGCCAGGGCUCCCCCAAGUUGGUUUCCUUUCCCUCCUUCACCUCCAGAGCAAGUUGUUAAAUAUUUAUCAGCAUACAAUAUGAUUAUGUGAGCCUGGUGGGAGAGGAUGAGUAGGAGAGACAUCUUCAAAAAGUUUACUGCUUAAGGACCCACAACUUCUUACAUCUUCAUCCUCAAUUUCUCUUCAUUUGUAAGUUUUUACAGAUGAUCAUGUAAGGGAAAACGAAAUCCAAAUCUGCGAUAACCGGAAGGUAUAAUCCUCAUCUUGUGGCUUUCCUCGGCACAUAAAUGUUUAUAUAUUUAACUUUCAGUAGCAUUUUCUUUCUUUUAAAAUUGACUUUUUUCAUCCAUCAUUAUUCAUUUACUUUUCUGACAGAAAAGUUAGGCACAUUUUAUUAUACCUUUUAAAGUUGAUCAAUGCUAAAGAUUUGUGCUAAUGCAGAUGACUAUGGUACAUAACAUCCAAGACAGUACCACCCAUCAGCCCUCUGCCAUCUCUUACCAGGACUCUUGUUUUCUCUCUUACUUUUCCCCAAUUCUUUUGUGAUGGGAACAAUCUUUGAAACAUGCAAAUCUUGUCACCUCACUUCCAGCCAAAACCAUCCUUGGUGUGCAUUUUACUUAGAAUAAAGCACACUAUCUUCACUAUGAUCUUUAAGGCUCUACAACAAUCUCUUUGGUUUCUGAGGAUUUCCAUAUCUCAUCUGGGAUGUUUCUCCUCUGGGCUUCCUGAGCUCUAGGCUCACUGUUUCUGGAACAUACCCAUUACUUUCUGUCUCAGGGCCUUUGCAUGAGCUAUUCUGUCUGCAUCAGUCCUAUGCUUCCCAUUUUCCGGAAGUCUAGCUGCUUUGUGUCCUUCUGAAAUUAACUGAAAUGCCAUCUUGUCAGGACUCAUCACCCCUACUCAGUGUGUAAGAGGCCUCUCUUCUUUAACAUAAGUCCAUAUCUUUUUCAUUCAUUUUGCUUUUAUAUGUAUGUGUUCAUUAUUUUUUUGUCUUUUUUUUUUUUUUUCUGAUGCACCUAUAGUGUAAGUUCUGUUAGCUCAGGGAUCACAUUAGUCCUGUUUCAUCAGCCCAGACCUGCUUAGAGCUUAGCACAGGCUCUCAGUGAUACCUAUCCGAUCAAGGACAGCAAUGUGGCCAUGCAGGAGGAUUGCUGUGAGCCCUAAGUGACACUUUGCUAUGACUACACCUACAAAUGAAAAUAUCUCUCACCUUUCUGUUUUUCUUUGUCCUAACAAUAGGAACUCAUUUCCUACAAUUUGCAUGUAUUUCUCACUUUCAUACCUUUCCUUGUCUGUUUUCUUUUGUUGGGCUAUCCGUUGCCUCUCAGACUACCUGUCUUGGAUCAGGUCACAUCUCUCAGGCCACCCUCACCAUGAUCCUUUUCCUCUCGUGGCCUGAUGACUGUGCCCUGCAUGGAACCUCCCUACUCCUCACUCAGGCCUUCCUAGAGCUCCUUACCUCAUUGAAUGUGAUUACAAACAUAACCAUAAACUUUUCCAGAGCCUGUACAACUCCACAUCUCUGAGAAACCUAACACCCUGUUUUAAAGAUAACCCUGCCACCAGUAUGUCACUGAAUUAAUUUUCUUAUAACGAAAAACUGGAAAACUGGGCUAAUUACCCAAAUGUUUCCAAAUGCCCAGAUCUUUAUCCUCAUGUUGGGAGGGGAGUGAAUGAUUGAUUAAAUGCCAGAUUGAGGAAGCUAAGCCCCACCUGCAAGCCAGCUGGAGCAAGGAAUGAGGAGAACCAGGGUGGAAGUUAAGCCCCUGCCUGUGAACCAGCCAGUAUGUGGGCUUGGGAGAGAAGACCAUCCCUCACUCCCACCAUGAGCAACCAGCUGAUUCAGAGGAACUGUAUUGUUUGAUUGACUUUGGAAGCCUAAAGGUAAUCUGAGCAACUGUUUAGAAGACUGUUACAAUAUGCAACAUAGUAACUAUUGUAAUUUUCUACUAUUUUUUUAUCGCUGUUUUGUUUCAUCUUAUGGUUCUAUUUCCUUUAUAAUUAAAUAAAAAAUGCCUUUCUGCUCAUCUCUGUGGCUUAGAGUUGCUUAGAUAUGAUGCUAUAUUUGUGUCUUUUUUUAUUUUAAAGAAGGUAAAACAAAACAGAACAGAACAAAACAAUGCAAAUGACACAGGAUUUCAAAUCAAGGCAACAGGAGAUCAACAGUGGCUACCAUAAUGUCUCUCCUCUUUGAAAUAAUUGUCUAUAUCUUCACACACAAUGAAUUCAAACAAAACAAAAUAGUAUAAAACUGAUCAAAACAUAAGAAUGAAAGCAUUACAGGCCUUCAAAACCAGACAGUAAGAAAAUCAACAAUGGCUAUGAUAAUAUCUCUUGUUCUCUUCAAAAUAGCUGUCCAUAUCUUCAUAUGUAUUAAAAUUAAAUAAUACAAACAAACUAAAAUCAAUCUAAACAAAGAAUAAAAGAAUUACUGGACUUUACAACAUGAUGAUAGGAAAUCAGCAAUGGCAACCAUAAUAUCUCUUUUUUUUCCAAAGUAGCUGUUCAUAUCAUCACACAUAAUACAAUCAAUUCUUGUAAACUCUUUAGGAGAAGGUUUAGGCAUCCAUAUUUGUGUCUUAACUAUGUUCUUUUCCUUAUUCAAAUAGUGCAAAUUUGUUAAUUUCUAGUGCUUCCUCUUAAUUUUUUAAAAAUAAGUUUUUAGAGCUUCAACUUAAAAAAAAUACUUACAUUGAAUAAUAAGUAUCAUGAAGUGAAUUCUCUUUGUGCAUUUUGUAGGAAGAGCUGAGGCAGACCUGCUCCCAGGGUUGUCUGUUGGUCUCUUCACGCUGGCAACAAAGGACAGAUGAGCCAGGUUCCAACCUGAUCUUUGCAGCACAAUAUGCUCGCAAUUCUGCCUCCAAAUUCCAAAUAUAUAACCCAUGUAACCAGGCUGUUAAGACCCAUGUGCUUCCUCCUAUAAAUAACAUCUAGCAACUUAAAAAAGAGAGGACAGUGAAAAAAUAACACAUGAGUACUGAAGAAAGUUAAACAGAGCAGGGCUGGAUAAAGGGGAAAAUAAAUAGCACAGCCAAUUGUCACUGGUGUCGGGGAAAGCUUGCUUAGCUGUGGGGACCAUGGCCUCACCACCCCCUGCUGAUUCCAGAUCUAUGGUAUAAGCAGUUCCCUUAAGUUUGAGAAGUCCUGCUUAAAGAAAACUUGGAAAGAUAGGGUAGUUACCUCCUGUAAAUUGGGGGUGAUCUUAUCUGCUGUGUUUUCCUAUCAUUUUGGCAGAAGUGUAGCCAUUGCCUGGCUUUCCUCUACUUUGCAGGAUCUCUCCUUUCUCCACCUCUGGCAGCCCCCUGUGCCGGGGACUGGAUUAGGGGUAGUCACAAGGCAGAGUCUGAUCCCCUGACAAAGGUGCUGCAAGCUGCCUGCAUGAGCCCCGUGAAGCCACUUAACUUCGGUGCACUUCUAUUUGUUCUACUUUACAAAAGGCAUAGUGGUGCUGGGCUACCCAGAGCUUAAAUUAAUUAAUGUUUAUAGGUCACUUCAAGCCUUGGGGAUAAAAGCCUCUUUGAAAGUGCGUGUAAUUAUCAUUAUGGCUAAUGAAGCUUGCUCCCAACUCCUCCCUCUCCCUGGGGGAGGGGGGCUGUCCUGGGUAACAUAGUCCAGAAUAGGAGGAAAUAGACCUCAAAUGUUAUUUUCCCUUUCCUGGUCAAAUUAUUGGUGUUUCUUGGCACUACUUUAUUUUUUAAGUUACAAGCUGGACUUGGAUGAAUGGAGCUUAUGAUUAAAAUAUGUCAGAUGGGUUAUUAAAACAGUGCUUUUUCUCUAGUUUCCUAUCUAGCUCCAUCCCCCCACCCUCCCUUGGGGACAUGCUGCCUUAGUGAGGUACUUUCUCUAGAAGGAGGCCUAGAGGUUUGAAGUGAUGCUUCUCAUGUUGUUGAGGUUUGUUAUUUAGUCUUGGGGCUGUCCGAGUUCUAGGAUGUACCUAGGCCUAAUUGCAAUAGAGACGAUACCGUCCCUAGGCUUCUGCUCCAGGAUAAUAACAACUUCAAGGGAUAGAUGCUUCUUUCAAUGCUAUCACCCAACAGCUGGUGUUGUUCAAAGGGUUACAUAAAUGACACAAGAUUACAUAAAUGACAUUUGUCAUCAACAGUUUUAACUUAUUCUUUGUUCAUUUUUACGGGUUCAUGGAUGUUUACAGUUAACAUGGAUUUGGAAAGAAUGAAAGAAUCAAAUGCAGAAAGUUGGUAAAGCAGUCACAGUGUCUUUUGGGAAUUCAUUUUAAUAUGAAUUUUGGAUUUAGGAUUUAGGAUUUAGGAUUAGGAUCUUUUUGGAUUUAGGGAGAUCAACUCAAAUUUAAGUAUACUAGGUUAACCUGGGGCUUCAUUUACUUGGAAUCAUUUGGAAACCUUCAUUUACUUGGAAUAAUUUCCAAAUCUUAAUUCAAAAUGCCCUUCGCAAGAGAGGUUAAUGUUUACUGAGUUUCAGUACUGCUCAGUAAAACUGGGAAGUGGGAGGGUUGUCAAAGCAGGCAUGGAGACAUGGGUGGACGUAAGGAGUGGAGACAGUGGUGUGGAGGAGGUGAUGGACAGCAGGGCCACCCUUGGGAGAGGCAGAAUUGCUGAAAUGAAAGCACCAGCAAUGACUGGGCUUGUGAAUGACUGCCUAGAUGUAGGCACCAUCCUGGCAGCUUUUGAGUACAGAUGCUGCCCGUUUCUUGUCCUUUGUGUCCCAGAAAAAUGGGUUAGAGUUCACUUGUUCACUGAAAAUUGCAAUCGGAGUCCUGAAGGCAAAUACAUAGUGAGUUUUGAACAUAGAUAUAAAAUUCAUUGGUAGGGUGUUAUUUGAAGAGACAGCUCUGAUAACCUUUGCACCACAGGAUGAAAAGUGGCCCUUGCCCUCAAGGGACCUGUGAGCUAUGUGCUGACACAAGAAAAGCAGGCUUCUGUUUGUUUUUUCCUCAGAGAGCUCUGUGAGGGCAGGCAUCUGCUCACUUUCCCUCACCGUGGAGGCUGUGGGGUAAUUAGACCGUGAAGGGAGAGACCUCAGGGAGUGGUCUAGUGCUCUCAUAGGAUCCCCCAGAGAAUACCCUUGCUCUUUUUUUUUUUUCUGCCAACCAAAAGUUUGCACAUAGCACCCUGGAAGAAGACCCUCACUAGAACCAGACCACGCUGGCAUCCUAAUCUCAGGUUACAAACUACCUGGUCUAAGGUACUUGGUUAUAGUAGACUGAGCUAAAAUGGUGUUGUUCUCUCACACACCAAAAAGCUAGAUAUUUCCAAGUAUUUGAAUGUUUCUUAUCUAUAGAAAGUAAUAACGAAGUAUUGGACUAAACAUCCCCAGCUUUUGGCAAAGACUGGUAGAAAAUUCCAGAGAGGUUUUGAUAUUUAUACCCAUGAUAAAUUUACUCCUUUGAAAUAAUUUGUGUCUUAGGAAAGACAUAAUAAUAUGUACAUAAAAACAAGGCUUCUUUUUUUCUUUUUUGUAACCAAAGUAUUUUAUAAUGGGAAUAGCCAAAAUCAGGAAUCAGGAACAGAAAGAAAUUUUUAAAAAAUCAUUUAAAAACCUUUCUACGAAUCAUGGGCCAGGAUAGAAUUUGAACGGGGACAAUCUGGACAUGAGUUCGCAACUACGUAUUUUUCUGUUCUUUGACUAAAGAGAAGUCUAUUCUGGAAUAACAAGGUGAAAAGUACAAUUUAUCACGUAAUUUACAAAGCACUAUCUUGGCCAGCUGCAGACUAUUGGUUUCCAGUAUAGGACAGAGCUAAUUCAGGGCAAGGUGUAAGGAGGUUUUGGUUUGGUCUGGACAAAGUCUUUGCGUCUUCAGACAGGCAAAUCUAAAAAUAAUAGUAGUGAGCAGAGUGUGAACUUUCUCAUUCGUCUUAAUGGGGUUGUCAACUGUGAAGUUUAAUUAUAUCACUUUCAUAACACACUUAGCCAUUUAGUGGCAGUUACAGGACUCAGAGGCCAGCAAUUAGUGGUGACUUCUAGCCCCGCACAGCUCUUCUAGUUUCUUUAUUGUUGUAAUGAUGGUUGGCUAUGCAGAAGGUCAGUGAGAGAGUCUGUUUGAUCCCAGUCAAUCACCUUAGUUACUGAAUCAUUAGUUUCCUAAUAACCGGGAAAUCCUCUGUAAGCUAGAUGUGCACUAGGUGGGUAUGUUGUUCUGAUCAGAUUAAAGAGAGAGUCACACAUUUCUAAUUGUGAUGUCAUAAAGAAAACCAUCAAACAGGACUCAGUAAGGGCCCGUGAGCAAGCUGUUGUUUUUGUGUAACUCCCUCCUCUGCCUGCAGAGGGGCAUAGUCUAGCUCUUUAACCUAGAGAGCUCUCUGGUGGGGUGGGGUAGCUUGCUCUCUGUCUCUUACUCCUUCAUUCUUUAAUCUAUUUAUUUCACAAAAUAUGUUUUCAGCCCUACUAUGUGCCAGACACUGGUGCAGAAGAACUUGGGUGACAAGGACGCUGGCAUUUAGAGCAUACAAGGAAACAGCUGGUGAUUCACUAUGUAAUUCCUGAGAGAGAGGGAUGGGGGGACAGAGAGAGACAGAAAGGGAGAGAGAGAGAGACAGAGAGAGAGAGAGAGAGACAGAGAGAGAGGGAGACAGAGAGAGACAGAGACAGAGAAGGAAGAAAGAGAGAGAGAGACAGAGAGAUACAGAAAGAGAUAGAGAUAAAGAGACAGAGAGACCGAGAGAGAUGGAGACAGACAGAGAGAGAUGGAGAUAGGGAGAGACAGAGUGCAAAGUGGAGAUGAUUUAGGUCUGCAUGGAGCCACAGAAAUAGCAUCUCAGCCACAAACAGGAGCCACAUGUCUGUUUAAAAUUUUUCUAUUAGUCACACCACAAAAAGUGAAGAACAGCUCAAAUUAAUUUAAUAUAUGUUCAACCUACUAUAUCAACAAAAGACUGCAAAAUAUAAUCAACAUAAAAACUUAUCAGUAGACUACUUUGUUCUUUUUUUCAAAAUCUAGUCCACAUUCUAUAUAUAUGUAGCCUACAUUUUAUAUAAGUGCUCAGCAUCCACAUGUGGCAAGUGGCUAUUUUGACUGCAGUUUUCCUCAGGAGAAAGAUAAGCUCUUUCUGACACUCAAAUGAUGAAAAAAGAGGCAGCCAUGCAGCAAAACAUGCUCCAGAGAGAGUGAGCAGCAAAUGCAAGGGCCCUGGGGCAGGGUUCAGAUUUAAACCAAAUUUGAUUUCAAUUGUAAAAUAAGAAAAUAAGUGUAGUUAGAUAUUCCCUCUAUAAUAUUUUUGUGCUUUACUACUAGAAAGUAAAAUAUUCUUUCAAAAAUCGUUCUUUCCAAACGGUCACAUAACCAUUUGGCGAUCAAUUCUUGUGAGCCUGAAUGAAUUGGCCAGCUCAGGAUGGCUUGGUUAAUAGCUUGGUUACAACAGAAAAUGAGCCCAGUGCAAAAUGGAACUUUUUUUUUAAAUGGUGCCUAAUUAAAAGCAUCUUGAACGUAUUUUUUUUCUUUUGCCUUCCAACAUGCAAAUUUAUCACAGUCUAGUGUGUACUUUGCUGGUAAAAGGACUAAUUGUAGGCUCUACUUGCUAAUAGCAUUAUCUAUCUUCAGGACAGGACUUUGGGAGCAAUACAUCUGGCCACCACGGCUUGUGUUUCAUCUUUCUCUGGAGGCAGGCCAUGCUUGACCCUCAGUUAGCCCAGGAACAUAAUGAUCUAAUUAGAAACAAAAGUACGCUACCCACAGAAAAUGAAAACACACAGAAAUAACUUAAAAAGGAUCAUAGAAUGUAUUCUAGAAUAAAAUGCCUGGCAUACAAUUUUCACGCCAAAUAAGCAUAGCCAUGCCCAUGUGAUGCUACAGGGAUGUGUUCUUCAUUUGGAUUCCUGCAGAAGCUGAUUCCAGGACAUGAGUGUGAGGAGUUUAUUUGAGAGGUGAUUCCAGGAAGUACAGCUGGGUAUGAGACCAGGAGCAGAGAAAGAUUAAAACUGUAAAUAAGCCAAUUAUGGUUAUGGGCACCUGGAGCUUUCACUGUGCAGUACCAUUUGGGGUCUGUGAAAGACACAGCCCAGAAUUAUCUCACCCUGGGAGUAGGGGAAGAUUCUCUGGACCUCCAUCACAGGCUUGGAGCUCCUGUGCUGGGAAGAAGGAUGGUAAUUCUCUAGUACUCAUUCUCAUGUACUAGAGAAUUACAUGCGACUUGCUUUCCACUAUGCAGUGACAGCCAGUACUCAGGGAAAACCCUCAGGAAAAGGGAGGUAGGUGCCUGCAGUUGGGAUUUAGAUGGUGCAGAGAAGUGUGGGAAAGACCAAGAGAAACUGGAUGGGUCACUACCUGGAGAUGCUUAGCUGUGAACCAGAAGCUCAUCUAGAAACUUACUAUGUGGCCGCAGACUAUUCAGUGUGCACAAUUCCCCUACCAGGGUUGCCUUAUUUAACUGCUACAAGGUCCUGGAGGUGUGAGCCGAGCAGGUCUUUCUAGUCCUAGGUUUCAGAGGGGAAAUCUGGUUUAUGCUCACAGAUCGUAAAGAAGCCAUGCAGAAUUCUGGUGGAAAUUGGGUGCCUUCCCAACAGCCCAGCCCACUCUCCUGCUAUGUAGCCAUGAAUCUUGCUCUUUUUAUGGAAUUGAUCUCACUCCUAUCCUCAGGGAGGUAUUGGCUGGUUGUCACCCACUGGAUCACUGUGUCCUUAGGGGCACAGUGAUUGCUUUCAGCAUAGGACCAGCAUGGAUCCUGUCAGAGCAAGGGGAAAGAUUGCAACAAACUAAAUGGCUGAGGUAAGGGCAGGACAGUUCUUUCUUUCUUUUUGAAAAUGUUCAUGCCUAUAAGAAAACAUUUAGCUCUAUAGUUGCUGACAGCCAUCCUGUGACCAUGCGGUAAUAUAGCCUUACGGUGAAGUUGAUACCACAGAUGGCAUAAAAGCACGGUCCUUGGUAACAUUAUUGACUCUGUGGAUCAACCUCAAUUGAAGCUGAACACUUUUAUUGUUCAGGAGACCGAUAACUACACUACUAAUCUCAGUAAAUUCAUCAAAAAGAACAGUUUGUGUUUUCAUUGUUUGAUCAUUUUUCUCAUGCUUGAAUCUUGUAAUCUGAACAACUACUUUUAAGGCAACAAUAUGCAAUAUAUUAACUAGUGUUAAUUUCCUACUUUAAAAAAUCUGUAUCACUUUUAUCCUCUUUUUUUGGUUUGUUUUGUGUUGUCUUUAAAAAAAAACGAGAAGUCAGUCUGGGGUUGAAUUAUUAAUCAUUUGCUCCUGAGAACAUUCUGGCUCCUGGCUUGAUACUUCACACGAGUGAUGGCAAACCUUUCAGAGCUUUCAACGGUAACGAACAGCCCGCUGCGGCAUGUGUGCCGAAGGUCCACCUCCACUGCUCUACACCAAGUGCUUUUUUCCCUUUAAUAGGACAUCUGUUUCAUCACCAACUUUGGAAUUAUAAAUCCAAAAGACCUGAACAUGCCCAUGGGAUCAUGAUGAACAAGAAUUUUCUAAAAGCAUACCACCACAUUCUUACUUCUUUAAGCAUUUCACUGAAGCGUUGACUCCAGGCUAUUAUCCCUGUGACACAAAGUGAAAAUUUAAAGGAGCCAAUCCCAAACAAACCUCCACCAAUCCCCAGGUGGCUGGCUUUCCCCAUUACUAAUGAAAGCCAGGAGGGUCGUGAAGUGAGAUGUGACAACAUGAGAAGCAGAGUGAAGAUCUCAGAGGUUGAGUCCUUGUCCCUUGACAAUGUGAGGACACAGCCGAGAAGAGGAUCCUUGAAACACCAUGUGGGAGAGAAUGCUUGCCAAUCAGAAAUAGGAAUUUACAGUUCUGUUGGGAGCAAAAAAAGCUAAUCCAUCAUCUUUAUCACAACAGUUUAAUCUGCUUGAGUAAUAAAUGAUCAUCUUGGGACUUACUUUCAUUGCAUUCCUAGAAAACAUCCACUCUUUCUUGGAUACUAUCUACAUCUUCUGUUUUUAAAGAAACUUUCAUUUGAGGAUUUGUCAAGAAGUUAUUUAAAGAUAGGGUAUUGAAGAUAUAAAAUUCCCAUAAAAAUUCUAAUCUUGCUGUCCUUGCUUAAAUGGCUUUUGCUAGAUGUGGAAUGUUAGAUUGAAAAUGGUUUUCCAUUUGAAUUCUCACACAUAGCUGCACUGUUUUGCUCACAAGGCACUUGAAAUUGAAAAUGUGGCAGCAGUCUCAAUUCAGAAACAUGCAAAAACUCAAAAACAAGCAGUCAAUAUACACAUGAAAAUUUUGUUAUUAGUAAAUGGCCAUCUGAUAUUAAGGAGAACCUUUCUCUAUAAGACUGUCAAACAUUAUACAAAUGAUUAUGUUUACCAAAGGUGCAGAGUGAGGUAAUUAAACAUUUUAUCUAGCAUUAAUAGGUGAGAAGAUUAGUAUGCUUUUUCUGGAGAACAUGUUAUUUAUAAUACUCUUCACUUAAAAUUAGUUACUUUUACCUUUUAAAGGAAGAUUGUUUUUUGUUGAGCUGGGAACUUUUAGGUUCUGCUCUUCAUCCUUGGUGUAAAAUUUCCUUAGGACAUGUUUAGGUGAAAAUCUUUUUUAUUCAUUAUCUUGGUCCUUAUCAGCCCAUCUUCAUCUUUUGUUUUGUUUCAGUUCCAAGGAAAUGGUUCAGUUAUUAUUUCUUUGAUUUUUCUUCUGUCUUAAAAAUUUUUCAUUCUUUGUCAACUUUUUAUUAAAUGGAUAUAUAUAGGUCUUUCUGUGUGGACCAUCUAUACCUUUAAAAUUUUCUCUCACUUAAAUUUUUUGUUCUUUGCUUUAUAUGUGGGAUUGAAAAAUAUGUUUAUUUGUUCUCUAUUUAUUUAUUUUCACCAAAUGUUUUAAUUUAUAUAUUUUAUGUUUUUGUGAACUCUGGGUGUCUUUGUAUGAGCCUGUUCUUGUUUUGUGGAUGUGGUAUCUACACAUAACACAAACAGAUUGACCUACAACAACUUUCAUAAUUAGAACAUUCCAAAAGUUCUCUUUUCCAUGACUUACCUGUUUCUCCUAAUGAAAUUUUUCUCUCUUUCUUUUCUUUUUUUCUUACAUCUUGACAACUCAUUUUGGCUUUUCUCUUUUCUUUAAAUAUCUGGUAAUCCAUGGUCUUUUAUUCUUAUUCACACUGAAGGGGUAUGAUGAGUAAUGGGAGUAACUAUCAAUUUUUUCUGCUUGGUUUUAUAAAUAAUAAAUGUAUAAUAACAAGUCAAUGUAAUUUUCAAAAGCAUUUUCAUUUUUUUAGGCAUGAUCUCACUUUAAUAAAACAUUUUUAACUUUUUUAUGUAAUCUGCUAUAACAUUGAUUAUAUAUAGGCAUUUCAGGACCAUCUAUGUAGGAAAUCUUUAACUUUUAUUAGGUUCCAUUUAGGGUUGUCUUGUUAAUAAAAUCUCUUACAAUUCAUACUUUGAAGUUUUAAUUGAGAAAUACUUCAGAGCUAAAAACUCUUCACAGCUAUUUUCUGGAAAUGUUUUAGGCGAACUGAAUCAUAUAUAUAUAUUUUAACAACCUACUAUUUAAUAUAUAAUGGAAAAUCCAUUUUGUUAUAGGUGUCUAAUUUGUGACUAUGAUUUAUUGAAGUUCUUUGUAUAUGAAGCUUUUAAAGGAUUUGUAUAAAUUAUAGGAAAUUGGUGUAGACGCUAUAAAAAUACUUUCAUGACAACCACAAUUAUUUACAAAAUAGACACGCUAUGGGGAAAUCAUGUAUUGUUGCAAAAGAGAUUAUUUUACUCCUUAAAAAUCUCAUAGACUGAUUGACUGCAUUAGCCUGUUGAAAAGUUUUCAUUUAAAAGAUGCCAAGAUCUUUUUCCAUGACCUCACAUUGCUACCCAUUCAUUUUUCACACACAGAGCUUUAUUCAUGCUGGGGAUCACCAUCAAGUCGUAGGGUAGAUUGAUCUCAUCAUAGUGAAACCAUUACAUUUCUUUUGGUCUUCCUUACACAUUUGCUCCAUGCCUGCUUCAAAUCUGGAAAAAAACAAACUUGUGGACUGGAGAAACAAAGAAGCUGCAAUUUCCUUGCCUUAGUCCUUGGCCCGGGAUGAAGUAGAGAGCAUGAUGUGGUGAUUAGAGCCAGACCUACCCUUGGCCAUGGGCACUGCAGCGGACCCAAACCUAAUUAAGAAAGAUCCUGAAUAAACUUGAGUGAGAGCCAAAAUCACUAGUCCCUUCAAUCAAUAUUUUUGAUAUAAAAAUUAGCAUCUGGCCUGAAUAAAAGGGAACACUGUUUCAUGCAGAAGGAAAAAAAAAUCCCUCUUUUGCUGCUUGUUCUCUUCUAACCUUCGGUUGUUGGAUAUUUUAUUGAUUCCUGUCUGUGAUAAGUUCUCAGAGCAGUCGACAUGCAAAUGUCACAUUUCAGCCUCUCCUUUGGAUGAAGGGAUGCAAGAAGAAUUAGAAUAACAAGUCCUACUUUAAACGCUAACAGGCAGCAACCUUUUCCAAACAUGGAAACUGGUUUGACUUGUUCUCUUGUUCUUGAUCGAAUUACUCCUGCUGGUAUAUAAAGUUUAGCUGAAAUAACCUUUUAAGAAAGGUUUUGAUUUGAUGAGAAAGAGGAUAAGCAUUCCAGCAAAGAACAAUGUACUGUCAGAGUGUUAGAAGUCCUCUUUAUACUCUGCUAAUCCUUUUACAACUGGAAUACUCUUCCUUCCAAGAAAUGCAUUAUUUAGUUUCUACAGUGGUACCAAGAAGAUAGCAUAUGUCAGAGUUUUUCAUGCAGUGUCUGGCACAUGGUUUAUGUCUAAAAAUGAUUGCAUUUUUAUCUUUCAACACACCACAUACUUUGGAAAUAAAUCCUAGUUUUGAUCCAGGGAAUUCACAUACAGACAGCAACAUAGAGAAAAUAAAGGUGUCUUUCUGAAGACAUAUUUUAAUGAGGUUGAGAGGAGGAACAAAUUGAGACGUUCCUACCUCCUAGAACUCAGUGAAAUAUUUACUCACAAAAUGAGAUUACUUCUGGGGUUCACUUUAAAGUUGUCUAGUGGGAGAGGGAGUGAAGAGGGUAUGCUAAUCAGUGAAAAGCCUGGCCAUGAACUGAUACUGUUUUGAAACUGGAUGGUAGGUCCAUGCGAGUUCAUUGUAUUAUCCUCUCUGUUUUACUGUAUUUUUCAAUUUUUCCAUUAUAAAUUUUUAAGUGGACAUUUUAUAAAUAAAUUCGUAAGUAACUGAUCACA